UACGGGGGGGGCAAGCGUUGUUCGGAAUUACUGGGCGUAAAGGGCUCGUAGGUGGCCAACUAAGUCAGACGUGAAAUCCCUCGGCUUAACCGGGGAACUGCGUCUGAUACUGGAUGGCUUGAGUUCGGGAGAGGGAUGCGGAAUUCCAGGUGUAGCGGUGAAAUGCGUAGAUAUCUGGAGGAACACCAGCGGCGAAGGCGGCGUCCUGGACUGGUACUGACGCUCAGGAGCGAAAGCGUGGGGAGCGAUCCGG
rnacentral:rRNA from 1 species